rnacentral:misc_RNA from 1 species
UCUCCGUCGGUGAACCAGCGGAGGGAUCAUUACUGGAAUCGCAAGAUCCCACAACCCUGUGAACCUACCGAAACGUUGCCUCGGCGGGUGCCCGGCCCCCGCGCCGGGCGCUGCGCCCGCCGGCGGCCCCCUACUCUGUCUCUGCAGCGUGGCAUCUCAGAGUCCCAGAAAACAAGUCAAAACUUUCAACAACGGAUCUCUUGGCCCUAGCAUCGAUGAAGAACGCAC